ANNGCAUGCCGCGUGAGUGANGAAGGUUUUCGGAUCGUAAAGCUCUGUCUUUGGGGACGAAUCAAUGACGGUACCCGAGGAGGAAGCCCCGGCUAACUACGUGCCAGCAGCCGCGGUAAUACGUAGGGGGCGAGCGUUGUCCGGAAUUACUGGGCGUAAAGGGCGAGUAGGCGGUUUAAUAAGUCAGAUGUGAAAUACUGAGGCUUAACCUCAGGGCUGCAUUUGAAACUAUUAGACUUGAGUGCAGGAGAGGAAAGUGGAAUUCCCAGUGUAGCGGUGAAAUGCGUAGAUAUUGGGAGGAACACCAGUGGCGAAGGCGACUUUCUGGACUGUAACUGACGCUGAGGCGCGAAAGCGUGGGGAGCAAACAGGAUUAGAUACCCUGGUAGUCCACGCCGUAAACGAUGAGUGCUAGGUGUAGAGGGUAUCGACCCCUUCUGUGCCGGAGUUAACACAAUAAGCACUCCGCCUGGGGAGUACGGUCGCAAGACUGAAACUCAAAUGAAUUGACGG
rnacentral:rRNA from 1 species